rnacentral:rRNA from 1 species
CCUACGGGAGGCAGCAGUGAGGAAUAUUGGUCAAUGGUCGGGAGACUGAACCAGCCAAGCCGCGUGAGGGAUGAAGGUACAGAGUAUCGUAAACCUCUUUUAUCAGGGAACAAAGGCGGGGACGUGUCCCCGGAUGAGUGUACCUGAAGAAAAAGCAUCGGCUAACUCCGUGCCAGCAGCCGCGGUAAUACGGAGGAUGCGAGCGUUAUCCGGAUUUAUUGGGUUUAAAGGGUGCGCAGGGGGUCAAUUAAGUCAGUGGUAAAAGCCCGGGGCUCAACCCCGGGCUGCCGUUGAAACUGGCAGUCUUGAGUUGGAGAGAAGUAUGCGGAAUGCGCGGUGUAGCGGUGAAAUGCAUAGAUAUCGCGCAGAACUCCGAUUGCGAAGGCAGCAUGCCGGCUCCACACUGACGCUGAGGCACGAAAGCGUGGGUAUCGAACAGGAUUAGAUACCCGUGUAGUC